rfam:Ciona savignyi cont_24763, whole genome shotgun sequence.
GUCGUCGUGGCCGAGUGGUUAAGGCGACAGACUAGAAAUCUCUUGGGCUCUGCCCGCACAGGUCCGAAUCCUGUCGGCGACG